rnacentral:rRNA from 1 species
ACUACGGGCGGCAGCAGUGGGGGAUAUUGCACAAUGGGGGAAACCCUGAUGCAGCGACGCCGCGUGAGUGAAGAAGUAUUUCGGUAUGUAAAGCUCUAUCAGCAGGGAAGAAAAUGACAGUACCUGACCAAGCAGCCCCGGCUAACUACGUGCCAGCAGCCGCGGUAAUACGUAGGGGGCAAGCGUUAUCCGGAUUUACUGGGUUUAAAGGGUGCGCCGGCGGGCCUUUAAGCCGGCGGUGAAAUCGCGGGGCUCAACCCCGCCGGGCCGUCGGAACUGGGGGCCUUGAGUGCGGCGGAGGCAUGCGGAAUGCGCGGUGUAGCGGUGAAAUGCAUAGAUAUCGCGCAGAACCCCGAUUGCGAAGGCAGCGUGCCGUGCCGCCACUGACGCUGAGGCACGAAAGCGCGGGGAUCGAACAGGAUUAGAUACCCCUGUAGUC